rnacentral:rRNA from 1 species
AUUGAACGCUGGCGGCAGGCAUAACACAUGCAAGUCGAGCGAGCGGCGGACGGGUGAGUAAUGUAUGGGGACUGCCCGAUAGAGGGGGCUAACUACUGGAAACGGUGGCUAAUACCGCAUACUGUCGGAUAACCCAUAUGGGAUUAGCUAGGAGGUGUGGGAAAGGCUCAACUAGGCGAUGAUCUCUAGCUGGUCUGAGAGGAUGAUCAGCCACACUGGGACUGAGAAACGGCCCAGACUCCUACGGAGGCAGCAAUGGGGAAUAUUGUACAAUGGUCGCAAGCCUGAUGCAGCCAUGCCGCGUGUAUGAAGAAGGCCUUAGGGUUGUAAAGUACUUUCAUCGGGGAGGCGUUACCCGCAGAAGAAGCACCGGCUAACUCCGUGCCAGCAGCCGCGGUAAUAC